rnacentral:rRNA from 1 species
UACGUAGGGUGCGAGCGUUAAUCGGAAUUACUGGGCGUAAAGCGUGCGUAGGCGGUCCGCGAAGUCUGAUGUGAAAGCCCCGGGCUCAACCUGGGAACUGCAUUGGAAACUAACGGGCUCGAGUGUGGCAGAGGGGGGUGGGAAUUCCACGUGUAGCAGUGAAAUGCGUAGAGAUGUGGAGGAACACCGAUGGCGAAGGCAGCCCCCUGGGCUAACACUGACGCUCAGGCACGAAAGCGUGGGGAGCAAACAGG